UAGGAUUAAACCAAUGAUAUUACAAAAACAAUUAUAAUUAUCUGACAGUUAUUUAGAAAAAUAUAUUUUUACUUACCGCCCAUAUUUAUUUCUGCUGACACCCAAAAGCUUAUAUACUGUCUAUGAGACAAUAGACUAAAAAGUACAUAAAAUGGUAUGGUAAUAAGAAAAAGGAUAAAAAUUAAACAUACAUUAUCAUGAAUCUAUUAUACUAGACCCAAUGAGAAAGUCAAGAAAGUGA
rnacentral:lncRNA from 1 species